rnacentral:misc_RNA from 1 species
AUUGACGUUCAGUAUGUUGUUUAACAAGUUCGUAAACUUUUAUGUUAUUUUGAAAGAGGAAUUCAAGCGCCUACGAGGGAAAACUGUGCUUUGCAUACAAAAACAAACAGCUUUGGACAAGCAUAUAGGCUUGGAUCCGGUUAACUGGUUAAGUAAGAUUUCCAGAUUCUUAAGCUGAAAAAUCUAGAUUCAAUGAAGCAAUUCAGUUGCCUCGAAAAAUGAAGGGUCAGAACGUUUGUGGUGUUUAUGAAUCUCUCCGUUUGGAUGAAAACCGAGUAAACAACCUAUGCACUGAUUUUUAUAUAACGUUUGGGAAAUAUUUGAACUUAUUUGAUCUUUAUUUUUUAAGGUAAAAUACUAAAGAUUUUAGAGAUAAGAUGUUAGCUGUUAGAGAAGCUUUUUGGACACGAGACGACCACUUGAUAUUCCCUCGGCACUUCCUUUUAAGGACUAAAAGGAAAAAAUGCGAGCCAACAAUCAAUCUCGCAUUAGAGUAGACUCUGGAGAAUUCUGAAUUCGUCGUAAGUUUCUUUCUUCACAUAAUUUUUUCUAGUUUUAUCUAUUGUUCCAUGUGUUCAGUUAGACAAUUAGGGUCCUGAUUACUCUGCUUAUAUAUAGUUUACUGCUAACAGCAUUGUUUUGCUUUCAAGAAAGAGGGUUUUUUAUGCAGAGAAACAUAACUUCAAGAAGAGAUUUAUCUGCCAAUGAGAAAAUGAAAGGUCAGGUAAACAAAUAAACUCCUAAUACAUACUACUUUCAAAAUACACUCAAACGCAACAACCUCAAAUACAACAUAACAAACGAGCAGGAAAAAAACACACACCACAAAGUAAAUAAAUCACAACGUCGUGUGAGUUUCUAUAUUAUACAUGUAAAACGUUGUGUAAACCAAUAUACAUUCUUUAAAAACU